GUUGCUUGAUAUGACUCACAAGACCAACUAGUUGAGAAGUGAAUUGCUCGGAUAUGACUCACCAAGACAAUCGAAAACAAGUUCUAAAGAGAACAGAGAGUUUAAACUCAGAAACUUAAUCCAAAAUGAUCUGAUUUUAUUAAUGAAAUGAAACACUUAUUUAUAGUACAAGUAGGAGACAAAGGGGCUACUUGACUAGAAGUUUGAAAGACAAAUAAAAUUAAAGACAUUUGACUAGGAUUUUGAAAGACAAAGAAAAAGACUCUUCAAUCUGCGGACUGGUCAAAGUGACCCUUCGGCUUGUUGAACCGCGGCCAGGAGCAGGACGGUCGCGGGCCGGUCCGUCUGUUCCGUCUUGUCCGUCUCCUGAACCAUCUUCGACCAUAAUCGUCCUAAGUCUUCUGAAAGAUGAAGAAUCUGUGCCUUAGAGAGAUUUGGAUGAUCAAAGUGCAUGAACUGAUCAAAUGGAUCGAUCAGUUCGUCAAUACGGUCGGUACGUUCCAAACGUGCGAGAAGAGAGAAGUCGCGUCCAGUUCCUAGUUCGGCUCGGCCUAAGUUGCUUCUGGCUUGACCGUCAGUCUGAGAUUGGCGAGUUGUCCGAGAGAGAGAUGAUCCAGUACGGUCAGUUCGGCUGAUAGGUCGAGGAUCCAGUCUAAGCUUCUUCCCGUCCAUCCGUGGAUCGAUCCGGUACACUGCUCGGCCUUGGUUGGGGCGAUGAACCUCGGUUGGAAUGUCCUGACCUUCCUGAUGGUCGAGUUCCUCGGACUGAGGCACAUCAUUCCCUCCCUCUUCAAAAGGAUUUGUCCACAAAUCUGGAUUAUCUGCAAGAAAAGGAGAUAGAUCAGAAACAUUAAAACUUGAAGAGAUUUCAUACUUACCUUCCAAAUAAGCUGGUAAGCAUUAUCAUUGAUCCUUCUAAGAAUCCGGAAUGGACCGUCGACUCGAGGCAUAAGUUUGGACUUCCUUUCUUCCGGGAAUCGUUCCUUCCUCAAAUGAACCCAAACCAAGUCACCUUCUUGGAAAACCAACUCCUUUCGCUUCUUGUUGGCAUAUCUUUUGUAACCCUCGGUUUUGGUUUCAAUGUUGACUCGAACUUGUUCAUGAAGCUUUUUGAUGGUGUCCGCCCUUCUUUUACCAUCUGUACUAACUCUUUCACUCAAAGGUAAAGGUAAAAGAUCAAGUGGAGAUAAGGGAUUAAAACCAUAAACAACUUCAAAAGGAGAGAACUUUGUAGCUGAAUGCAUAGCAUGAUUAUAAGCAAACUCAACAUGUGGCAAACAAUCUUCCCAAGACUUAAGAUUUUUCUUGACCAAAGAUCUAAGCAAAGCAGACAAAGUUCGAUUAACAACUUCGGUUUGACCAUCAGUUUGCGGAUGACAAGUUGUGGAAAACAUCAAUCUCGUUCCUAACUUAGACCACAAAGUUUUCCAAAAAUAACUAAGAAACUUAGCAUCACGAUCAGAAACAAUGGUCUUAGGCAUUCCAUGCAAUCUCACAAUUUCCCUAAAGAACAGAUCAGCAACUUGUACAGCAUCAUCAGUUUUAUGGCAAGGAAUAAAGUGAGCCAUUUUCGAAAAUCUAUCGACAACCACAAAGAUAGAGUCUCGGCCAUUCUUAGUUCUAGGCAAUCCAAGAACAAAAUCCAUAGAAAUAUCAAUCCAAGGAUGAGAAGGAAUGGGUAAGGCCGAGUACAAACCGUGAUUGGAUGCUUUGGCUUUGGACUUCUUGCACACCACACAUCGGCCACAAAUUCUCUCUACGUCCUUCAUCAAGCUAGGCCAAUAGAAAUGAUCAUACACGGCCUUGUAUGUCUUCUUGAUUCCAAAGCGUCCCAUAAGACCUCCUCCAUGAGAUUCCCUGAGAAACAACUCCCUCAAAGAACAUUGGGGCACACACAAACGGUUAUCAUAGAAAAUAAAACCCGAGUUUCGAUAGUACUUGCCAUAAGCCACUCUGGAACACUUGUUGAAAAUUUCUUUAAAAUCCGGAUCAGAAGCAUACAAGUCUUUGAUAAAUUCAAAACCGAGAAGUUUUGUUUCGAGGGCUGAAAGAAGAGUAUACCUUCGGGACAAGGCAUCAGCCACAACGUUUUCCUUACCUUGCUUGUAUUUGAUGACAUAAGGAAAUGUCUCAAUGAAUUCAACCCAGCGGGCAUGCCUCUUGUUCAGCUUCUGUUGACCUUUAAGGUGUUUCAGGGACUGAUGAUCCGUGUGGAUAACAAACUCCUUAGGCCAAAGAUAGUGUUGCCAUGUUUGAAGAGCUCUUACCAAAGCAUACAACUCUUGAUCAUAAGUUGGGUAGUUGAGUGUGGCGCCUCCAAGCUUCUCACUGAAGUAAGCAAUAGGCUUUCUAUCCUGCAUCAAAACUGCACCAAUACCAACACCCGAAGCAUCACAUUCGAUCUCAAACGUUUUAGAAAAGUCAGGAAGAACAAGUAAAGGAGCAUUAGUCAACUUCCCUUUAAGGAUUUGGAAGGCUUCUUCUUGAGCUUGUUCCCAUUUGAACCCAACAUUCUUUUUAAUGACUUCGGUCAAUGGGGCCGCUAUGGUACUGAAAUCUUGGACGAACCGUCGAUAGAACCCAGCAAGGCCGUGGAAGCUCCUUACUUCACUCACGUUCGUUGGACUUGGCCAGUCUCGGAUGGCUUUGAUUUUCUCCUCGUCCACUCUAAGUCCUUCAGCACCUACAACAAAACCUAAGAAGACCACAUGAUCUGUGCCAAAAGAACACUUUCCAAGGUUAGCAAACAAAUGUUCCUUUCUAAGAACUUCAAGGACAGAUUUCAAAUGUUUCUUAUGUUCAUCCAUGUUCUUGCUGUAGACAAGAAUAUCAUCAAAGUAAACUACCACAAAAUGACCAAUGAAUGCUCUCAAGAUAUGGUUCAUCAAUCGCAUGAAAGUGCUAGGUGCAUUAGUAAGACCAAAUGGCAUGACCAACCAUUCAUACAAUCCUAGCUUGGUUUUAAAUGCAGUUUUCCAUUCAUCACCUUCUUUCAUUCGGAUUUGGUGAUAGCCACUUUUCAAAUCUAUCUUAGAAAAGACACAUGAACCGUAAAGUUCAUCAAGCAUGUCGUCUAGUCUAGGAAUGGGAUGCCUAUAUUUUACCGUAAUGUUGUUGAUGGCACGGCAGUCCACACACAUGCGCCAUGAUCCAUCCUUUUUGGGGACAAGUAGAACUGGGACGGCACAAGGACUGAGGCUUUCCCUGAUGUAACCUUUCUCCAUAAGGUCUCCAAUUUGUUUCUCAAGUUCCUUGGUCUCCACCGGAUUGGUUCUGUAAGCUGGCCGGUUAGGUAGAGACGCACCCGGAACAAAGUCAAUCUGAUGUUCAAUCCCUCGUACUGGCGGCAAACCCUUUGGGUUUUCAUCUGGAAAGACAUCUGAAUAUUCCUGCAAGACGUCUAGCAAAUCACUCGGAACUUCCGGUGCAAGGUUAGAAGAAGUAGAAGCCAUCAGAGAUUCUUUGUACACAAGUAAAAGAAAGGGCUUUUGGGAGUAAAGAGACUUCUUAACCUGACUUUGUUUGAUAAAGAAGUUGGAGUUCCGGACUGAGGACUCAGGUUUGUCCGGUUUGGACUCUUGUUCACGGUUCUUUUUGAGUUGGAGCUGGUCUUGAUGGACCUCCAAGGGCGAGAGUGGUACAAGCGUGAUCUUCUUUCCUUUAUGGUCAAAGGAGUGCCGGUUUGUGUAACCAUCAUGGACGGUUCUUUUAUCAAACUGCCAUGGACGUCCCAACAGAACAUGACAAGCAUCCAUGGGAAGAACGUUGCACACAAUCUCGUCUUCAUAACGACCAAUGGUGAGAGGGAUCGUGACUUGCUCCUUAACAUACUGUUCACCAGUUUCAUUGAGCCAUUCCAACCUGAAAGGACGUGAGAGAGGUCGAGUAGCUAGACCUAAUUUCCUGACAAGAGUAUCACUAGCAACAUUAGUACAACUCCCACCAUCAAUGAUCAAAGAACAAACUUUUUCAGAGAUUAAACAACGAGAAUGAAAGAGAUUCUCCCUUUGUUCCUUUUCAUUGGUUUUGGGCUGAAUACUCAAGGAACGUCUAGUGACCAGUAGUGGUCCGUGAGCUGGAUAGUCAAAGCUAUCUUCAUCAUCAAAGAUCGGCUUAGAAUUUGGAUCAAAGGUCGGGUCAUGGUCGUUGUCCGUGUGGCCGUUCGCGUGGCCGUCCGUUUUAUCGAAGAUGGGUUCGUCCCAAGCCUUCCUAGCCACAAGUAAUGGUCCGUGAUGUGGGUAGUCAAAGGACUCCUCUUCCUCGUCAAAGAUAGGACCAAGAUCCUCCUUGUCUUCUUGUUCAUCUUCGGACUCAACUUCACCAUUUUCCAAGAGAAUCAUCACACGCUGGUUUGGACAGUUCUUGGCAUAAUGUCCUAGCCCUUGACAUUUGAAACAUCUAAUGUCUCUUGCUCGGCUUGAGGCGUCUACUGCCUUUCCUUUGUCAUCACGAGUGGACACAUCAGUUUUAAAGGCAGUAUGUGUUGUGAUAGGCGACUUACCUUUGUCUUGAUAGCUUAGCUUAGGAGCAUAGGCCGGUUUAGGAGAGUAGGCCGGCUUAGAAGUAGUGGCCGGUUUUGAGAAACUCCUUCUCUUGAGUUGUUGCUCGAUCAAGAUGGCUUUGUGUAGCAUCUGUUCCACACUUCCAUACUCUUGAAGCUCCAUACGAUCUUGGAUGUCACGGUUGAGGCCUGAAAGAAAGCGAGCCAUAGUGGCGUCCAAAGGUUCAUCCGUGUCCGUUUUGGUAAUCAAAACUUCCAUCUCUUGAUAAUAGUCUUCCACAGAUUUGGUUCCUUGAAGCAAACGUCUUAGCUUCUGGUGAAGGUCGCGGUGAUAAUGGGUUGGCACAAAUUGUUUCCUCAUCAACAAGGUAAGCUCAUCCUAUGUCUCAAUCGGCCGCUCACUUGUUCUCCUCCUGUGGGUCAACACUUGAUCAUACCAGUUAAUAGCAUAGCCAGAGAAUUCAGUGGCCGCAAGCCUUACUUUUCUAAGUUCAGAAUAGUUUUGACAAUCAAAGACAUGCUCAAUUUUUCUUUCCCACUCUAGAAAAGCAUCAGGGUCGUUUUUACCAUCAAAAGGUGGAAUUUUCAAUUUCAAUCCGUUCAAACUAUCAUCAGUACGAUUGUUUCUAGCAAAUGGAUUGACAUCACCUGGAUUUCGAGUUCUAUGACCUCUUCUUGGUCGGUAAGCGGAUCUGACCUCGUCCUCUUGGGCGUCCUCAUCAGGAAACUCAUCAUCUGACCGGGUAUUCCUUCGCGGCUGAUUGGUUCUUGUCCUUGAUCUAGGAUGGGACUGGCUUACUUGAAGUUCGUAAAGCCUUUGAUGGAUCUGCUCUAGACCUGUGUUUAUAAGGUUAGAAAAAGAAUCAUUCAAAGCUCGCAUCUGAAGAUUAGACAGUCCAGCAACUGAAUUUCCGGGACGGUUUUGUUCUUCAUGGCUACUCAUGGUUCCUGAAAUUUCUUAAACACAAAACGUUAGGAUUAAAACUCACACUCUCAAGUGUUUGUUCCUCACCCACACACGUGUUUCUCUCGAUUUAAAAGUGAUCACUCAAGUUUCCACUCAAAGUUCUAUGAAGAACAGAUCUCGGAAUCUGGAUGGCCAAACUUAAGCAAAACACACGGGAACUUUUAAAGAUAGAAAGAUAAGAGAUUUGUUUUAAAAGAAUCCGUUUUAACCUCCUCAAAGGCUGGAUUUCUCCUCAGCCAGCAGGCUUCCUCUUCCACCACCAAUCCACAAAGUAAACUCUUUCUUUUUUUUUUUUAUAAUAUGGAUCUUGCUUGUUUCUUUUUUUUUUUCUUAUAAGUGGAUGGUAAUGAGGGGCCCGGAUUCAAGAUAGACAGAUGAAGAAGUGUUUAGAAGAAAAUGGAAGAUGAGAAGAUGGAUCGAGAUAGAGAAUACCAGAAGAGUGGCUCUGAUACCACUUAGAGGACCCUAAGAUCGGAUUGCCCUCGACUGGAUUCGUUUGGAUAUGAACUCCGGAAAGGAGAACUGAUGGAACGUUGGGUCGCACAAGGGUUGCGGAUGUUCCCUUGAUAUUCCCGACUUCAAUGGCGCUUGAUAUGACUCACAAGUCCGCCAAGGAAGAUCUCGAACUAGUUGCUUGAUAUGACUCACAAGACCAACUAGUUGAGAAGUGAAUUGCUCGGAUAUGACUCACCAAGACAAUCGAAAACAAGUUAUAAAGAGAACAGAGAGUUUAAACUCAGAAACUUAAUCCAAAAUGAUCUGAUUUUAUUAAUGAAAUGAAACACUUAUUUAUAGUACAAGGAGGAGACAAAGGGGCUACUUGACUAGAAGUUUGAAAGACAAAUAAAAUUAAAGACAUUUGACUAGGAUUUUGAAAGACAAAGAAAAAGACUCUUCAAUCUGCGGACUGGUCAAAGUGACCCUUCGGCUUGUUGAACCGCGGCCAGGAGCAGGACGGUCGCGGGCCGGUCCGUCUGUUCCGUCUUGUCCGUCUCCUGAACCAUCUUCGACCAUAAUCGUCCUAAGUCUUCUGAAAGAUGAAGAAUCUGUGCCUUAGAGAGAUUUGGAUGAUCAAAGUGCAUGAACUGAUCAAAUGGAUCGAUCAGUUCGUCAAUACGGUCGGUACGUUCCAAACGUGCGAGAAGAGAGAAGUCGCGUCCAGUUCCUAGUUCGGCUCGGCCUAAGUUGCUUCUGGCUUGACCGUCAGUCUGAGAUUGGGGAGUUGUCCGAGAGAGAGAUGAUCCAGUACGGUCAGUUCGGCUGAUAGGUCGAGGAUCCAGUCUAAGCUUCUUCCCGUCCAUCCGUGGA
rnacentral:lncRNA from 1 species